ACAGGUGACAUUCGCCGCAGCAGGAGAGCAUUACCGCCGACGGUGAUGAUAGAGCGCGCAAGAAAUAUCUCUGGGUUGAGAGAUACGCGGUACCGAUAGAGACAUCCGAUGUACGCUCGUCUUCCGUUAACAAGAAGAUUUAAUAUCGCGUCACGGCACUUGGCUCUUGGAGACAAUUAGAUGACUCGCGCAGCCAGAGAUCAUAUCGACACAAUCCUGAUUACAUGUCCAACAAUGCCAGCCAUUUCUUCGACAUUGCCUCGACACAGAAUACUCGCAGGGACGUAUACGUCACAUGGGUGGAUCAAACUCGGGAUUUCAAGAUUUUAGAAUAACGGAGACAAUGGAGAGUGACAUUAUGAAAACUGUACACCGUUACAUCGAUGAGCGGAGCACCGAGUUUCUUCGCGGUGGACUCUCGGCAAGCAACGGGAUGCAGCAAGUAUAUCCACCCCAGAACAGGAUGGAGAGAAUACCAUAGCAGGAAGUAGAAUAGGGAUUACGAAGAGCUGAAUAUUUCAUUACGGAGAGCCUGCAUGGAAACUUGCGGAAUGAUAAUACUUUAUCAGGACAAACCCGCCUGCGGUUUUCCUAUCCUACUAUUCUGCCCCUUUCUCCUUUCC